rnacentral:rRNA from 1 species
UACGGAGGGUGCAAACGUUGCUCGGAAUCAUUGGGCGUAAAGCGCACGUAGGCGGUCUGUUAAGUCGGAUGUGAAAGCCCCGGGCUUAACCCGGGAAGUGCAUACGAAACUGGCGGACUUGAAUAUGGAAGAGGGUCGCGGAAUUCCCGGUGUAGAGGUGAAAUUCGUAGAUAUCGGGAGGAACACCAGUGGCGAAGGCGGCGACCUGGGCCAAUAUUGACGCUAAUGUGCGAAAGCGUGGGGAGCAAACAGG